UACGUAGGGUGCGAGCGUUGUCCGGAAUUACUGGGCGUAAAGAGCUCGUAGGUGGUUUGUCGCGUUUGUCCGUGAAAAACUCACAGCUUAACUGUGGGCGUGCGGGCGAUACGGGCAGCUGGAGUACUGCAGGGGAGACUGGAAUUCCUGGUGUAGCGGUGGAAUGCGCAGAUAUCAGGAGGAACACCGGUGGCGAAGGCGGGUCUCUGGGCAGUAACUGACGCUGAGGAGCGAAAGCGUGGGGAGCGAACAGG
rnacentral:rRNA from 1 species